UUCUAUGGCCAUACCACCCUGAACACGCCUGAUCUCAUCUGAUCUCAGAAGCUAAGCAGGGUCAGGCCUGGUUAGUACUUGGAUGGGAGAAUAUUAAGUUAGCCCAAAAU
rnacentral:rRNA from 1 species